rnacentral:rRNA from 1 species
UACGUUCCCCGGUCUUGUACACACCGCCCGUCAAGUCACUUGAAUCGUCUUCACCCGAAGCCCGUGGCCCAACCCGCAAGGGAGGGAGCGGUCGAAGGUGAGGGGGGUAAGAGGGACU